CCGCCCCGCCCCGCGGCCGGCGACCCGCGACUAGCGACCGGGACCCGGACCCGCGCGACGGUGCGGCAGAGCCGGGGGACGGUGACCGCCACGCCCUCGCUCCGGCCGCCGCAGACCAACCGGGAGCUAGAGCCUGCCCCUGCCGGGGAAGUUCCCCGCGUGAAACCAGAGGCGAUUCACGCUGCGCCGCGUGAUGGUCCCGGAUCAGCGACCCGAAAGCGGGUGAGCUGCCGCUGUCUCCCACUUCUACGAGCCGGAGGGACCACGUAUGCAGCCAGAACCCGGCUAGGGAGUCCAAGGAGCUCGCCCUCAGCGACCACUGCGGCGGAGAGCAGAGAUGAAUCAGAGAUGAAUAAAUGAGUAACCACAUCAAUAUUUAAGUGUUCACUCGGACCGCUGGGGCUCAUGCGUCCCGAGUUGGGGAAAAUUAUAGGCUCUGGUGGAGGUUUUAAACAAUUACUUAUGUCCAUUAAGUGCCUA